ACGACCACCUGGGCAGCUGUGAGCCGGAGCCCGGGCCCGGCGACGAGCCCGUGCUGUCGCGGCUGCUGCCCGCGGCCGGCAGCGGCGACCGCCAGGGGCUGUCCGGGCCGGCCGGCAGCGGUGGCGCGUCUCAGCCGGCUGUUUCCAGGGACGACACUGAGGAGCGUCGCGAAAGCGACACAGUGCGACAGAGGACACCCGUAGCGACAGCAACGAAACAGCGAACGGAUCCGUCCUCCAUUGUUAAUACAGGGCAGGCAGCGACCUCAGAGCCGACAAAUAACGGCAAGCCUGAAGCUCAGUCGGGCGUUUCAAAGGACAUUUUGAAGCACCGUCGUGGAGGGGACAGCUCUGCGCAAGAGUCACCAGUGGCGGCUGCGGGUCUGCCGAAAACUUCUGCAGAUAAUUCUCCAACACUUGUUAUACCUCCAGCCAGUGUAGCACAACCAUCAGUUCUGCAGCAGAGCAACGUUACGGAGAAAAUGCCCGAAGGAUCGUCUGAGAACCAGGUAAAAGUGCUAGUGGAACAAAGGAACGUGGCUAGUAAAACGGAACGGCAGCCGACUGUUGUACCGUCCGGAUCCAAAUCGCGAAGGAAAAGAGAGGUUGCGUCCGACGUUCCUCACCAAGCAGCUGCUGUUCCUUCGGGAAAAAGCGGUAUCGGUGCGGGACAAAGCAGACGCCUACAGAUUGAGUCUUCCCGCGAGGAUUCAGGCAGAGCCCAAAAAUCGGCUUCAGAAGGUGAGCGAAAAGCAGUGGGGAAGUCGGUGAGUUCUAUACCUGCUGGUGGAAAUGAUGGAACUAGUAAACCAUCCACAUCGACCAUGAAGACUGCACAAGAUUUACCUCCCGCACCUAAUGUAAUAAAGGAAGCACACAAGCAGAAUAAACGUGUCACAGAGAAACAAGAUCGACACGUGGAAAAUGUCGAACAUAUUCACAGACCUGACGUACUGAAGCACGCCCCACAGAAAGCUUCUCCAGUCAGCAGUGACAGUAAAGUGAACGCUAAUACGGUUAACAAGUAUCAAAGUGUCAAAUCUCAGAAGACUGCGAAUAACGGUGGCUCCAGCCCUUCUGAAGACGGGGUGCCAAAGAAAUCAACGGAAUCACAGUCUCACGGCAAUGGACAGAAAGAAAUAAUAAAGCGAUUUCGUUCUUCAGAGGAAAGCCAUGGUGCUAGAAAAGCUCAGAAAACACAUCCUGUCAAAAGUCAGGACUCACAUCAGCAAGAAAAUCUUCAAGGCAAAGCUCGAAAAAGUACGGGAAGCGCUGAAGGAAAAUAUGUUGCUGAAACGAAGAGUAAAACUGUAGUUGGGCCGAAUAAAAUUUCGUCUACCGUGUAUAGAGAAAAGGUUAAAGAUCCAAGUUCAAAAUUGUCAAACGUCGACUUUGGAGAACAUCAGACAGCGAAUAAUAAAGUAAUACCUCCUAUGAUUAGAAAGACGCAGCAUAUUAUUGCGAAAUUAAAGAACAAUGAUACUACUCAGUUAAAUCAGGAUGCUAAUAUGCAGAACGAAAAACAAAGAGUAAGAAGAGAAAUAGGUGAUCAUAGUACAUUCAGUGUUUCAGAUGUUUCUGAAGAUUCUAAAUUGGAGACUGAUCAUUUCGGUGAAAUGCACCUCAACGAGACAGUAAAGAAUGCAACAGUCAAGAAAAUUACUUUCAGCAACAGAUCGGCGACAGUAGAUGACAACUACAAGACAGCUUCCACGACCAUAAUAGUAGACGGGAAUCUUUUUAGAGGUUCUGGGUCGAAAACGUGGAAACUGUCAUCGACGGCGAAUACCAGUCAAAAUGAAGUAAGCAGGGAAGCGAGUGUGGAGGGGAAGUCAACGAAGCUGCCAGGUUCUACAUUUACAGAGUCAAAGAAUAUUUCUUCGGAAAAAUCGAACAGGAGUAUUAUCUCUACUGGUAAUCGCGUGAAUACCACUGAAAUCGACAAGAGCAAGAAACUUGAGGACUCUCGAGAAGGUCCGAUCGCUCCAUCGUCUUACGAGUCGGGCUUGAAAUCCGCGUCGUUUUCCACAUCAGAAAACAAUGAGUCUGAUUUACAGGUUAAGCAGGCUCAUGCGGAACAGACUAAUAGCUCGCGAGAUAAGUCAACAGAUGUAACAGAAAAUUCUGCAGAUGUUCCCCCGGAAGAACAAACUCCUGUCUCGUCUCCAAGUAGAGAAGAAACGACGCUGAGGAUAAAAAGGGAGACAGGCCCGGAAGUGAAGAAGGAAAUAAGAGAGGAGAAUAUGAGAGACGAGGUUCCCCCUUUAGUCACUGAUCCGAUAACCAACAUCAACGAGGAGAACCAGUCGCAAGAAAUAGAAACGGUAAGUAGUGAGUCGGAGGAAGUAAAAAAACUAAAGGAAGACGAUACUAAAAGUAUAGCAGCGCUUUCGAAAAUAAUGCAGAGCGUGAAGACUGAAAUUACAGAAAAUGCAACAGACUCCAGAAGCGAGCAGUCUAGUGACGAACAGCAAAAAGACGCUGGUGAGGAGAAGAACGAGGAAUCAGUGUCGAAUGACGCGCUUCACAUACCAGAUACAGGAAUUAGUUCUAGUGAAUCAGUUGUUAAUGUAGCAGCUGGUCUGCCGAAUCAGAAAAUAACAAAAGGUGAACCAGUACCACAGAGGCUUGUGUCACUCCAAGAGAAAGAGAACUGCGACGAGGGCGGGAAAUCAUUAACAGAAUCUGUUGCAACAGAGGAAUCAGGAACGAUGAAAGGAGAAGAGGAAGAAGUUUUUUCACCUGUGGCGAAAGAGCGUAGUGAGGAGCCAAAGGCACCUCACCCCCCGGUGAUGAUUGAAGGUGCAAGGGAGCGCAGCUCUGUUUCUGGAGCGGAUAAGUCUGUGGUCGCCAAAGAAACUGACAAAGGUACUGUUGCUGGCGAAGGUGAACCACAAAGAGGCGGCCCAGUUGCUGAGGCCAUACAGAGCCAGCCUCCGGAAGACGACACUCACAGGGUUGACCCACCGGAGUCGGAGCCGAGGGCGCAGACUGGUGACAGCUCGGCUGAGGCCGUGGCGGAGAAGUGGGUAAUGCCAGAGUCCAGUGGCAGGGUUGAGGAGGCUGUGCAGCCGCAGCCGCAGCUGCUGGAAGACGGCGAGGACUCUGAGCGGCUGCUGGUGCUGGCGGACAGGCUGCGACAGCGCGACGGCGGCCGCAGGGACGCCGAGGAGGAGAGAGGGAGGGACAGGGAGAGGGACCGCCUCGACGAGCCGCAGCUGCACUUUCCCAGCGUACCGCCCGGGGAGGACUUCCACGCCGCCAAGCUGGGCCUCUCCGAUGGCAUCUUCCUCUUCGGCUACCUCUCCACCUUCAUAUCGUGGCUACAGCCGCAAGACUUCCCAGUCGAACUCGUUCGUGAUGCGCUGUGGAACAGAAUCUCACUAACGGAUCUAAUAACUGAGACGCUGCAGGUGGAGGUGGGCUUCAUCGCGGUGCUGUCGGUGGGCGUGGCGCUGGCGCUGGCGGUGCCGCUGAUGGCGCUCGGCCUCACGUGCUGCCGCCUGCUGGAGGCGCGCGCCGACGCGGGCCGCGACCUCGAGCCGUCCGCCUGCCGCCGGCGCUCGCUGCUCUGCGGCCUCUGGACCGUGCUGCUGCUCAUGGCCGUGGGCGUGGCGGCCAUGUUCGCGAGCAACGAGCAGGUGAGCGCCGCCGUGCAGUGGUCUCCCCGCGUGCUGCACACGGCGCUGUCCGACACGGCCGCCUUCGUGCGCUCCACUCACCACCAGAUCGGCUUCGUCGCCUCCAAGUCGCUCGACCAGGCACUCGCCGCCGCGGUCGAGGAUCUGGACAGCGCGGACGCGCUGCUGGGCGCGCCGAUCCAGCGCGAGCUGUCGCGCGAGACGGGCGUGGACGUGGCGCUGGACGCGCUGUCCGACGUGUCGGCGGCGGCGGAGGGCGCCAGCCAGCGCGCGGCCGCCGUGCUGGAGCAGGCGGCGCAGGCGCGCGGCCUGGCGCUGGUGGCGCGCGAGCGCCUCGCAGACCUGCGCUACCAGCUGGACGCGGCGCGCCGACAGUGCGCCGCCAGGGACCGCCCGCUCUGCGACACCGUCGACGCCGUCGGCCUCGACGUCUCCGUGCGGCUCGAGGCGCUGCUGACUGACGAGCGGCUGCUGGCGCUGCGUGACCUGCGCAACGGCAACCUGAGCGCCGCGGCGCAGCAGGCGCGCGCAGACUUCCAGCUGCUGCCGCGACAGGUGCUCGAGAGCACCAGGGACGCCAGGCUCGGCAUCCGGCGCGAGCUGGUGCGCGAGCGCGCGCAGCUGCAGGAGUCGCUGUCGCCGCUGGACGCGUUCUCGCGCAGCGUGUCGGGCCGCGUCGACGGCGCCCGGGCGGCCGCCCAGGACGCCGCCAGGGUGGUCGCCGAGGCCGACUACUGGCGCUGGCUCGUCGGCCUGGGGUCGGCGCUGUCGAUGCUGGUGCUGUGGCUGCUGCUGGCGGCGGGCGGCGGCUGCGGCUGCUGCGGCUCGCAGGAGAAGGCGCGGCCGCUGCUCAUCACGGCGGUGGCGACGGCGAGCGCGCUGUCGGUCGUGCUGUGGGCGGUGACGCUGGUGGCGUUCGCGCUGGGCGCGCACGGCGAGGUGCUGGCGUGCCGGCCGCUCUUCAGCGCGCCCGACUACCCGCAGCUGUCGCGCCUGCUCGACCGGCCCGGCGUACUCUUCCCCGCGGGCGGCUUCUUCCGCAACGUCGCCGGCUCCAACGCCAGCCUCGACGUGCCGCUCAAGGACGUGUUGCAGGAGUGCGAGCUGGGCCGGCCGGCGUACCAGGCGCUGCAGCUGCGGCAGCUGUUCGACAGCGACGCGGCGACGGGCCGCGGCGGCCAGUGGGAGGGCGUGCGCCAGCAGGUGUCGCGGCUGCGCGUCGACCUGGCCGAGCUGCGCGUGCUCACGCCCGGCCUGCAGGCGCAGCUCGAGGACACGCUGCAGGCCGCCAGCGCCAACCUCACGCUGCACCGGCUCGCGCUGCAGGGGCCCGUCACCGCCAGGGACCUGCAGGCGCUGGCGGACCAGCUGCUGAGCGUGUCCUCGCAGGUGGCAGACCUGUCGUCGGCUUCUCGCCUGGAGACGCUGGCGGCGCGGGCCAAGCGGCUGCUGUCGUCCCACAUCUCGCCGCUGGAGCAGAGGAAGGAGGACCUGGUUUACCGGCUGACGGCACUGGAGGUGGCGCUGUCGCCGCUGCAGAGGCAGACGAACCAGUCGCUGUCGCACCUGAAGACGAUCCAGUACUUCGUGAGCAAGCAGGGCGAGAGCAUCGCGAAUGCGGCGGUGCGCCACUACGCUGACCGCCUGGUGUCGUACCUGCAGCAGGCGCGCACCCACGUGCUGGCGCAGGUGGGCAGGCACGUGGCGCCCUGCAGGCCGCUCUUCGACGUCUUCCACGCGGCGCGCCAGCUGCUCUGCCGGCACGCCCUCGACCCGCUCAACGGCCUGUGGUUCUCCUCGGCGUGGUGCCUGGUGCUGCUGGUGGCGGCCGUCCCGCUGAGCCUGCGCCUAGCAGACGCCUACCGCCGGCGAGACUCCUCGGCGUCGCUGCUCAGCUCCCGCAACUCCGAAUGGCAGGUAGAAAAGAGCUCCAAGGACUAUUACUAAACGCCGCCGAGUGACAGCGCCCGUUCCAACACUGCGAGUCCAUCGGAGACUGUGGACAUUCCGGACAACUGGAACACACCAGGGGGUGGACAGCAACAACAACAAGACGGCUGGUGACCGCUCCUCCAUCAAAGGCGCAGCUCAGCUGUCAGCCGGCUUAUGUUGAGACUGAUCUUCAAAGCGGCGUUCGCCGUACCUCCUAACACUGUAUGGGAUACGGGACAGAAAGCUUCGAUGGCGAGCGUACAUUUCUCUCCUUUCUUUUGAACUUUUGCGAGCACUUCGCAUAUCUUCCACAUAUCUACAACUAAUGGGUCCUUGUUAUUUGGAGUAAUAAGAGUGAAAUACCAUAUAUAUGCCUAACAGAGGCGUAUGCAAUGUUGCAGAUAUUUUAUAAUUCGUUUUGGUGCAGCUGCCAAGGUUCCUGUUACUUUAGUCCAGCUGAUAUAUACGCUUUAUCACUUUCCUGGCCGUAUUUACGCUCCUAAAGUAAAACUAAUUAUUGCGGUGGAUUCUCAUUGUGCCUCCAUGAAAAUUUCUUCCUCCUCCGUAGAACCCCAUUUAUCUCAUGCGUCACAUAGUCUUAGCAGUAGUUAUUUACGACACAAAGAGACGUGUUCUUCGUAGAUAGGGGAAUUGUUAAAGUAUACUUGUUUUUGUUACACAGUCACAUUUUUGUGGGUUAUGUUCUUAUCCUGACUGAAUAAGCAUUUUAACAAAAGAUAUUUCUGACCUCUACAUGUAUGUUUUUCUCAUUUGUAAAAGACAUAUGUAGAUGAACUUGUUCUGCAAAUUUAUCUGCUUGUAAUUAUUGAAUUAUUGCAGCUACAAAAUAAACAGAUGCUU